GAUUCAUCGUCAACGGGGUCGGCUUCCAUGCGGCGCGCGAUGAUGUCGAGUCUUUACGGAUUCGAUUCACGCUUCCGCUGUGGUAUGCGUCCGAUCACGUCGGCGUGCACUUCUCCUCUGGUAGAACGUCGCGACCCGCUGGGUGUCGGUCUAAGGACCAGGCGCGUCGACUGUACCGUCGCUUCGGCGUUACGUGUGCAGACCGCUUUUGGAUUCCCGACCGACUGCUCGGCGGUAAACACAAGGUAUCGAGCCGCACUCGAAUGCGUUCAGACCCGUUGCAAGCUGUAUCAUUUUUCAUCCGGAUGUGCGGACCUGGUGCCGUACCUGGGAAUGAUUGGCUGUUGGUCGACGGUGUUCUCGAACCGGCUUACACAGUUGCUGUAUACAGCGAUACCGGUCGGCGACGCUAUUGCUUCGGGUACUUUCAGGACCCGUCUUGAAACACGGACCAAGGAGUCUAACAUGUGCGCGAGUCAUUGGGAUCAUUGUGAAACCUAAAGGCGCAUUGAAAGAGAAGAUCGGCCUUGCGUCGAUCGAGGGAGGAUGGGCUGACGUUUCGAUGUUGCUCCGCACUCCCGGGGCGUCUCGUGGUCAUUGCGACUUGAGGCGCACCCAGAGCGUACACGUUGGGACCCGAAAGAUGGUGAACUAUGCCUGGUCAGGACGAAGUCAGGGGAAACCCUGAUGGAGGUCCGUAGCGAUUCUGACGUGCAAAUCGAUCGUCGGAACUGGGUAUAGGGGCGAAAGACUAAUCGAACCAUC
rnacentral:rRNA from 1 species